rnacentral:rRNA from 1 species
AGUGAACGCUGGCGGUAGGCCUAACACAUGCAAGUCGAACGGCAGCACAGUAAGAGCUUGCUCUUACGGGUGGCGAGUGGCGGACGGGUGAGGAAUACAUCGGAAUCUACUUUUUCGUGGGGGAUAACGUAGGGAAGCUUACGCUAAUACCGCAUACGACCUACGGGUGAAAGCAGGGGAUCUUCGGACCUUGCGCGAUUGAAUGAGCCGAUGUCGGAUUAGCUAGUUGGCGGGGUAAAGGCCCACCAAGGCGACGAUCCGUAGCUGGUCUGAGAGGAUGAUCAGCCACACUGGAACUGAGACACGGUCCAGGCUCCUACGGGAGGCAGCAGUGGGGAAUAUUGGACAAUGGGCGCAAGCCUGAUCCAGCCAUACCGCGUGGGUGAAGAAGGCCUUCGGGUUGUAAAGCCCUUUUGUUGGGAAAGAAAAGCAGCAGGUUAAUACCCCGCUGUUCUGACGGUACCCAAAGAAUAAGCACCGGCUAACUUCGUG